rnacentral:misc_RNA from 1 species
UUUUGCAAUAUAUUUUAAGUCCACAUUUCCCUCUAAUUAUUCAAGCAUUGGAACAUUUUUCCUGCUUAGUGCUUACCAUAAAAGAUUUUCUUGUUAAGAAAAAUUACAUUUCUGCUCUGAGAAAUCAACAUUCUCUUCCAUGGUUGAAGAAGUUAAAAAUGAUUACUCACCUUUUCUAUGGCCAUAUUUUUCUGUCUAACAACCAUUCUGCUUCAACAGGCAUGGCAGCUUCAUGAAGAGGG